AUUCCUACGGGAGGCAGCAGUGGGGAAUCUUGGACAAUGGGCGCAAGCCUGAUCCAGCCAUGCCGCGUGAGUGAUAAAGGCCUUAGGGUCGUAAAGCUCUUUCGCCAGGGAUGAUAAUGACAGUACCUGGUAAAGAAACCCCGGCUAACUCCGUGCCAGCAGCCACGGUAAUACGGAGGGGGUUAGCGUUGUUCGGAAUUACUGGGCGUAAAGCGCGCGUAGGCGGAUUGGAAAGUUGGGGGUGAAAUCCCGGGGCUCAACCCCGGAACUGCCUCCAAAACUCCUAGUCUUGAGUUCGAGAGAGGUGAGUGGAACUCCGAGUGUAGAGGUGAAAUUCGUAGAUAUUCGGAAGAACACCAGUGGCGAAGGCGGCUCACUGGCUCGAUACUGACGCUGAGGUGCGAAAGUGUGGGGAGCAAACAGGAUUAGAUACCCUGGUAGUCCACACCGUAAACGAUGAAUGCCAGUCGUCGGGUAGCAUGCUAUUCGGUGACACACCUAACGGAUUAAGCAUUCCGCCUGGGGAGUACGGUCGCAAGAUUAAAACUCAAAGGAAUUGACGGAAU
rnacentral:rRNA from 1 species